rnacentral:snRNA from 1 species
AGCUUUGCGCAGAGGCAGUGUCAUAGCCAAUGAGGUAGUACCAAGGCGUGGCUAUUGCUAGUUGAAAUCCAAUUGCCAAAUUUUGGUUGUGACCCUUUUUUUAGUUUGUGUGCCAUAGUAUAAUCCUUUAGAAUUUUUCGUAAGA